rnacentral:rRNA from 1 species
UACGAAGGGGGCUGGCGUUGUUCGGAAUUACUGGGCGUAAAGCGCACGUAGGCGGAUCGAUCAGUCAGGGGUGAAAUCCCAGGGCUCAACCCUGGAACUGCCUUUGAUACUGUCGAUCUGGAGUAUGGAAGAGGUGAGUGGAAUUCCGAGUGUAGAGGUGAAAUUCGUAGAUAUUCGGAGGAACACCAGUGGCGAAGGCGGCUCACUGGUCCAUUACUGACGCUGAGGUGCGAAAGCGUGGGGAGCAAACAGG